CUUUCGGGCUGAGUAGAGCGGCGGACGGGUGAGUAACGCGUAGGAAUCUACCUGGUAGUGGGGGACAACUUGGGGAAACUCAAGCUAAUACCGCAUACGCCCUAAGGGGGAAAGCGGGGGACCUUCGGGCCUCGCGCUAUCGGAUGAGCCUGCGUAGGAUUAGCUAGUUGGUGGGGUAAAGGCCCACCAAGGCGACGAUCCUUAGCUGGUCUGAGAGGAUGAUCAGCCACACUGGAACUGAGACACGGUCCAGACUCCUACGGGAGGCAGCAGUGGGGAAUAUUGCGCAAUGGGCGAAAGCCUGACGCAGCCAUGCCGCGUGUGUGAAGAAGGCCUUAGGGUUGUAAAGCACUUUCAAUUGGGAAGAAAAGUUUGUCGUUAAUAGCGCCAAGCUCUGACAUUACCUUUAGAAGAAGCACCGGCUAACUCCGUGCCAGCAGCCGCGGUAAUACG
rnacentral:rRNA from 1 species